rnacentral:lncRNA from 7 species
CGGAAUUCUCGAUUGUUGACCCUGUCGAUUAUCGAGCGAGCAUAAAGGGGAGCACCGAGUUCUGCCUUCCCUUUCCACCACCCGCAAACCAAAGACUAGCUCCAAAACCGCUUUGUAGCGUGCAGAUUCGUCAUUGCGCCAGGAGCGUAGGGUUGCGCCGCCACGGAACCUCACCUCCAUCGGCGCCUAGUGCCUGAAUUCGGACCGAAGGCCUCUGCGGGACCUGUGUGAAGCCAGCCACGACAAUUUCGGGUGAGAUUGGCGGCUCAUCGGCCACCAAUUGCUCACCGGAGUUCCACACUGUCGCGGAUCCUCGCAUUGCCGUGGGCAAGGAGCUACGCGUCUUAACCACCGACGAGCAAGUGACCGAGGAC